rnacentral:lncRNA from 1 species
UGGACAAGGCGAAUGAAGAUUCUUCUUGUGUGGGGUCUUUUUGUGGACACGUGCAUUCAUUUCCUUUGAGGAAUACCAAGUACUGGAAUUGUUCAAUCAUAUGAUCGGCCCUUUCUUCAAAUAAGAGCAGUUGGAACAACAAAAGCUGUUUAGUUGUACCCUUGGAAUCCACGGAAAUCCUGGGUAGGGACCUCCAGUACCACCAACUGGAAAGACUGCGGAUGCCUAGUAGCUGGUACUGGCAGUUGUCGUAGGCUUUGUCCACUUUGACAAACUGAAGACGGAGACUCGACUCACCUUCGCCAGCCACGGGAGGACCUCCAGACGAGGCAAUCUGAAGGCAAAUCCUAUUUAGACCCAGGCAAAGGUUCCUGGUGACCCAGGCUCUCACCAGCUGAUAGUCCCUUACCGUCCUCCUGAGGGUGUCUGGAGCUUCAGUGCUGUGUGCUCUUGGCCUCCACCCUUGGGGUGCCACCGACUCCCACUGUCCAGGGCUUCCAGUGGACUCUCCGAGGCACUGACGUAGAAACUUCCCCAUUCAGUGCACCAAGAGCAGCCUCACAUGGUGUGGGCCGACAUGAAGAGCUGCUAGAUCCAACAGGAUGGAAUACAAUGGCGCGAUCUCAGCUCACUGCAACCUCCACCUCCUGGGUUCAAGUGAUUCUCCUGCCUCAGCCUCUUGAGUAGCUGGGAUUACAGGCACCUGCCACCACACCGGGGUAAUUUUUGUAUUUUUGUAGAGACAAGGUUUCUCCAAUUGGCCAAUUUGGUCUCUAACUCUAGACCUCAAGUGAUCCACUUGCCUUGGCCUCCCAAAGUGCUAGGAUUACAGACAU